GCCUGGGGAAUGCAGUUUGAGAGACUGUGACUCUGGGAAUCCCCUGCUAUUCUGGAUCCACCUCCUGGCUGUUGCCACAUUUCCAGAAGAAGACUUAGAAGAAGUACCUGCCCUAAUACCAGAGUUCCAGCCUCAAACCAGAGCUACCGUCCUAAGCUCAUUUAUAUAGUAAGUUCUUUAAAGUAGAGACUGGGUGUUACCUAUAAAACCUGGCACAAGAAUCAUGAAAGAUCUGUUAAAGUGAAUUCCCUGGUUUGGUACAGUUUGGGGUUCAUAAACCUGAGGUUGUUAUUUGGGCAACAAAUAACAUAUAGUUAAACGUUUCUCCCAGAGCAGCAAAGGACUCCUAAGAAUAGCUGCCCUGACAAGCCAGCACAGAUUUAUCCUAUGAUACAGGAUGGCAGUGUCAUUGUGCACCAUUUGAUCAUGAGAAGAUGUAAAUGCCCUUGUCCCUCGUCCAAGUUUACCACAGCUAUACAGACUGCCCACACCAUCUCUCACUUCUCUGUCGGUUCAUGCUGGUUUCUACAAGAAGGCCGAGGCCAAUCUUAGGGACAUGUAGCCUCAUUUCCACUACCCUGCACCUCCUGCAUUGAGGACUGAGGCAGAAUCUGCCUCAAAGUGUUGCGGUUUGGUUCUAGUGAUGAUCGCACUCUAUUUCACCUCUACUCCCAGCUGUAUUCUACCAAUACCGUCAAAAACCACUGAGAAUACAGUCCCUGAUUUUCUCUUC